CCAGGCAGAGCCCUUCCGUUUGCUGACGUCUCCGAGGGCCCUGAAGGUCACUGAAAGAGCGUGACCACGCGACGGCGUCUCGUCGCACGCGGUGGGCGUCAGGAGCUGGGCGCCGGGGCUGUUUAGAAAACCGGAAGUGCCUGCGGCAAACUUUACGGCCCCAGCCCAGCGUGAGUCGGAAGCGGUAGCAGGUUAAGGGUACGAGGACCUUUGCGUCUUCCUUCAAACGUUUGUAUUCCUAACGUGAUCACUUACUCUGAGGAAAGCCAGCUGUCACAUCAUGAGGUCACUCAAGCAGUGUCAUGUGGCAAGGAAGUGAGGCCUGCCAGCAGCCACGUGAGUAAGCCACCUUGGAAGCAACCUUCCCAUGACUGGUCUCGGCCAACAGCUUGACUGCAACCUCAUGAGAUGCUGAGCUAGAACCACCCAGUUAAGCUACUUUGAAUCCUUGGCCCACAGAAACUGAGAUACUUAAUCUAGGACCUGGAAGGAUGGAUUUCCAGCAAAUUCCAGAGGGUGAAUUUUGAGCAUGCUCAGCCAGUGCUGCAUCACAAUGACUUCUCUGCCAUUCAGUUACCCAUGACUGUGCCCCCUUCUAAGGAGGAUCUGAAUCUCAGCCCUGAGGAGUGGGUAGAGUUCCCUUCCUUGGGGACUCAAUUUCAACCUAUGGAUAGUACCUACUCCUUAUAUCUGUUAUUCUUAUAUUCUUUGAAGUUUUCUAUUUUUACUCUGAUCCUCUGUUAUAAUUAUUCUUUAUAUUAAACUUUACCU